AUGCAAGUCGAACGAACCUUCGGGUUAGUGGCGGACGGGUGAGUAACGCGUGGGAAUCUGCCCUCAGGAGGGGGAUAACGGCUGGAAACGGCCGCUAAUACCCCAUAUGCCGAGAGGUGAAAUGAAUUUCGCCUGAGGAUGAGCCCGCGUCUGAUUAGCUAGUUGGUGAGGUAAGAGCUCACCAAGGCAUCGAUCAGUAGCUGGUCUGAGAGGAUGAUCAGCCACACUGGGACUGAGACACGGCCCAGACUCCUACGGGAGGCAGCAGUGGGGAAUUUUCCGCAAUGGGCGAAAGCCUGACGGAGCAACGCCGCGUGAGGGAUGAAGGCCUCUGGGCUGUAAACCUCUUUUCUCAAGGAAGAAGAUCUGACGGUACUUGAGGAAUAAGCCACGGCUAAUUCCGUGCCAGCAGCCGCGGUAAUACGGGAGUGGCAAGCGUUAUCCGGAAUUAUUGGGCGUAAAGCGUCCGCAGGCGGCCCUUCAAGUCUGCUGUUAAAAAGUGGAGCUUAACUCCAUCAUGGCAGUGGAAACUGUUGGGCUUGAGUGUGGUAGGGGCAGAGGGAAUUCCCGGUGUAGCGGUGAAAUGCGUAGAUAUCGGGAAGAACACCAGUGGCGAAGGCGCUCUGCUGGGCCAUAACUGACGCUCAUGGACGAAAGCCAGGGGAGCGAAAGGGAUUAGAUACCCCUGUAGUCCUGGCCGUAAACGAUGAACACUAGGUGUCGGGGGAAUCGACCCCCUCGGUGUCGUAGCCAACGCGUUAAGUGUUCCGCCUGGGGAGUACGCACGCAAGUGUGAAACUCAAAGGAAUUGACGGGGGCCCGCACAAGCGGUGGAGUAUGUGGUUUAAUUCGAUGCAACGCGAAGAACCUUACCAGGAUUUGACAUCCUGCGAACCUCUUGGAAACGAGAGGGUGCCUUCGGGAACGCAGUGACAGGUGGUGCAUGGCUGUCGUCAGCUCGUGUCGUGAGAUGUUGGGUUAAGUCCCGCAACGAGCGCAACCCACGUCUUUAGUUGCCAGCAUUUAGUUGGGCACUCUAGAGAGACCGCCGGUGAUAAACCGGAGGAAGGUGUGGAUGACGUCAAGUCAUCAUGCCCCUUACAUCCUGGGCUACACACGUACUACAAUGCUACGGACAAAGAGCAGCAAGUUCGCGAGGACAAGCAAAUCUCAUAAACCGUGGCUCAGUUCAGAUCGUAGGCUGCAACUCGCCUACGUGAAGGAGGAAUCGCUAGUAAUCGCAGGUCAGCAUACUGCGGUGAAUACGUUCCCGGGCCUUGUACACACCGCCCGUCACACCAUGGAAGUUGGCCACGCCCGAAGCCGUUACUCCAACCCUCGGGAGG
rnacentral:rRNA from 1 species